rnacentral:rRNA from 1 species
CGUGUAGGCGGCUUGAUAAGUCAGAUGUGAAAGCCCUGGGCUCAACCCGGGAAGUGCAUUUGAAACUGUCCUGCUUGAGUAAGGGAGAGGGAAGUGGAAUUCCUGGUGUAGAGGUGAAAUUCGUAGAUAUCAGGAGGAACACCGGUGGCGAAGGCGACUUCCUGGCCCUAUACUGACGCUGAGACGCGAGAGCGUGGGGAGCAAACAGGAUUAGAUACCCUGGUAGUCCACGCCGUAAACGAUGUUCACUAGGUGUUGGGGGUAUUGACCCCCUCAGUGCCGGAGCUAACGCAUUAAGUGAACCGCCGUGGGGAGUACGGUCGCAAGAACUAAA